AAAAAAGCAGGGACCUGUUGCCUGUGUGAACGGGCCUCUCGUAAAUGUCAGGGAUAUCAAGUUUCAUUGUUAUUGGGUGAACCUCUGUUUGGCUUCUUUAAUUAGGGUUUUGAUCGACCAAUUAUUUAUUU